GCCGAUGCCAAAUUACCUGAUAUGCAAGCAGGCUGGGAACAAGCAAUGUCAAACGUCAUGGCUGGUCUAACCGGUUUGAACAUGGUUUACGAGGCU
rnacentral:ncRNA from 1 species